rnacentral:sRNA from 4 species
AUAUCUCUCCGUACGGGAAGGAUGAGAAGCUUCGACUAAGGUUCGAUUCGAGCGCAGCGAGAAAGCGUUGCCGCAGGCAACGACCCGAAGGGCGAAGCGCGCAGCGCUGAGUAAUCCUUCCCCUACCACCA